rnacentral:lncRNA from 1 species
UGGACUGCCUGCAAAUGGGUGCCACAACAAAGACCAUGAGAAGACCACACCUCAAAAUGGGGAGAAGUGGAGACAUCAGCAGCACUGUUGGCUCAAAGCCGGGAGCUGCACUUGCAGCUCUGCCCUUGACCCUAUGACCAGGGACUGACUUGGGUUCAGCAGCCUGAACGGGGGCUUGGCUCUGGCUCUCCAGUCCUCAUCCAUGAUGCCCCAGAACUCAACCUUCCAUCUGAGAGCUGAACUCGCUCCUCCAAUGUUCUCUGAAUAAUGGAAGUGUCAGAGCAGAGGGAUUCAAGGAUCCUGGCCAAGGAUCAGCUGCCCUAUCUGCCUUCACAUGUUCCUGAGGACCCAGAGACUCCAGGCUGCCCCCUGACCACUGGAGAUGGCUGCAAAGGGGGCGUCCUCUGGAAGAUGGUCAGCAGCCUCUAGAGGAAGCAGACAUCCUGGACGCUGACCUCCAGGGCCUAAUGCUCUGCCCCCUCUCCUGACCUGCACCUCGAGGGGGAUGUGUAGAGGGUCUGCUCUGGGAGUCUUGGCUGUGGCCCCCACCUACCCAAGAAAGCCAAUGCCCACGAUCAGCUCAGCUUCUGGGUGGCCCAUGGGGCACCAUUCGGUGUCCACUGACUGCAACCCCCUCCCCCCAACACCCGUCCUCUCUGUCCACCUCCCGGCAAACCUGUGGUGGAUUCAGCAGGUCUGAGUGAGACAGAGGUGGGCUGGGAGGCCGCAGGUGUGACCGUAAAUGGGCAGGGCAGCCAGACCACAGCACGCCUCAGCCAUCUGACUCCAGCCCCUCUUACAUACGUCCCCUCCAUCCUCAAACCACCCACAGCCCAUCGGUGCCAAACCAUGAGAGCCCCCACCUCAGGGCGUUGGGUGGUACAGGGCUCACCCGCUCCCAGGGGGCUCCACACCUGUCGGGGUUGGGGAGGAGGCUCCUGCCAGACAGAAGUAGCCGGGGGAGCAGGGGCCAGAGGGCGCAGCCAGGCCAGAGGCACCACAGAAAUGGCCAGGGGGACAGGACAGGCCUCUCUGAAAGGGUGGACCCAGGCGCACCCUGGCAGAGACCACCUUUCCGCGAUUUCCUUUUCAUCUCUCCUCUCUCAGGCUCCCUGUGACUCCUGCCUACACUGGCUCCAGGUAGCAUUUCCGGCAGGUGCCUGAGGGAAAGUGUGGCAGGGCUCUUCUCUCUGUCUCUCUUUCCCCUCUGAGAUAUGCACCUGGUUAUAAUUCUUCUCUGUCUUAAUCCCAAUUCAAGCUCAGGCCGUCCAGGGCCACAGACCUCUGUGAUCUGGCAGCUACAAUCAGAACAUCUAACAGUGCCCCACACUACCCCCCGCCCUCCCCUGAGCCAUCAGCUCCACGACUGGCCCUUGCUUUGGGCUGUCUUCUCUUGGGAGCUGGGAGGGUCCUAAAGAUGAGGAGAUGGGUCUGGUCUCAAAAGAGAUAUCGGCAGACACAAAUUCUUAAUGGCUUUGCUUUCUUGAGUAUGACGUGUUCUCAAGCCCCUCAAAGCCCGCAUGGCCUGCCCUCGAUCUGGCCCCUCCAACCGACACUCCCCAAGGCUUUCUGCCCUCGCAGCCCAGGUGGAAGUCCGGCUCUCCAAGCCUCACACUCUCCCAUGGCUGGGGGAUGUUGUUGGUCAGCUGUUAAGUGGAAAGGAGGACCGAGAGGAGGUCUGGGCUCAGCCCCUGGGACCAGGGCAGUGGCACUCAUACUCACUAACCUGAGAAGGUGCCCAUAGGGCAGGGCAGGGCCACCCCUGUGCCCACUGGACAGAAGUGACCUAGAGGGCAGGGCCCUCCCGCAGUCACAUGGAUGCCUUUAUUGGGAUGAGUGACCUCAGCUCUUGCCCAGAGAAUCAGAAGUGGCUGAGAUUGCAGAGCAGCCCUCCCUGGCCCCCACUCAGGCUCUCGACCACCCCCAGCUCACACACCCCUGCAGUGGGACAUUUCCCAGAAUAAGGGAGCAGAGCUCGCGAGCUGGAGUGACAGUGCCCUCCACUGCCAGGGUGGCUCUCAAGCCCAGGGACGGCAGUGGGCCCUGAGAUGCGGCCCCUUCUGAAUUAAUUCUUGGCUAUCUGUGCCAGACCCUGCUUAGGAGCCCAAAGCUGGGGAGAAAGCAUGGGGGUUCCAGGACUUGCCCAUCCUGUGGAAAGGUGGGUGUGGUGCCUUCAGCCCCACUCUUGGUGUGGAGGGCACUGCAAGGCACUGAAGAGUUGGGGCUCCAGACCCCACUCAGGGAGCCUCCAGAUGAGUGUUCUAGAAACCUGCUUCCACUCCAGCUAAGCUUGUUUUCAUUUACAUAUUCAUUAUGUCAUCACUUAUGGUUUGCUCAAACCCUUUCUGAAUGAGAUGGACCUAAUUUAAUAAAAAUUACACUGACAAGUACUCUAA